CCUACGGGGUGCAGCAGUGGGGGAUAUUGCACAAUGGGGGGAACCCUGAUGCAGCGACGCCGCGUGGGUGAAGAAGCGCCUCGGCGCGUAAAGCCCUGUCAGCAGGGAAGAAAAUGACGGUACCUGAAGAAGAAGCCCCGGCUAACUACGUGCCAGCAGCCGCGGGAAUACGUAGGGGGCAAGCGUUAUCCGGAUUUACUGGGUGUAAAGGGGGCGCAGACGGCGAUGCAAGCCAGGAGUGAAAGCCCGGGGCCCAACCCCGGGACUGCUCUUGGAACUGCGUGGCUGGAGUGCAGGAGGGGCAGGCUGAAUUCCUGGUGUAGCGGUGAAAUGCGUAGAUAUCAGGAGGAACACCGGUGGCGAAGGCGGCCUGCUGGACUGCAACUGACGUUGAGGCCCGAAAGCGUGGGGAGCAAACAGGAUUAGAUACCCCUGUAGUC
rnacentral:rRNA from 1 species